rnacentral:rRNA from 1 species
UACGUAGGGACCGAGCGUUGUCCGGAAUCAUUGGGCGUAAAGAGCGUGUAGGCGGCCACUUAAGUCCUGCGUGAAAUCUUGCGGCUCAACCGCAAGCGGUCGUGGGAAACUGGGUGGCUAGAGUGCGGGAGAGGAGAGUGGAAUUCCUGGUGUAGCGGUGGAAUGCGCAGAUAUCAGGAGGAACACCGGUGGCGAAGGCGGUUCUCUGGGCCUUACCUGACGCUGAGGAGCGAAAGCGUGGGGAGCGAACAGG